UACGUAGGUGGCAAGCGUUGUCCGGAAUUAUUGGGCGUAAAGCGCGCGCAGGCGGUCUCUUAAGUCUGAUGUGAAAGCCCACGGCUCAACCGUGGAGGGUCAUUGGAAACUGGGGGACUUGAGUGCAGAAGAGGAAAGUGGAAUUCCACGUGUAGCGGUGAAAUGCGUAGAGAUGUGGAGGAACACCAGUGGCGAAGGCGACUUUCUGGUUUGUAACUGACGCUGAGGCGCGAAAGCGUGGGGAGCAAACAGG
rnacentral:rRNA from 1 species